AUGCAGCAGGGUUGGUUAUCUAAUUGGCUAGUCAAACAUGAGGUGGUUCAUAGAUCUUUGGGCUUUGAACACCGAGGAAUAGAGACUUUACAAAUAAAAGCAGGGGAUUAGGAUUCCAUUGCUGUCAUUUUAUAUGUAUAUGGUUACAAUUAUUUACGCUCCCUCGGGAAUCGGCGAACUACGCUACACAGUCAGAUACCUAAGCGAACGGAUAAGGGAAAGGCCGCUAUAUUAUAUAUAGUAAUCACCUGCCAAAAGGAAAGCCUGACCGAUAAUAAUAAUAGGUCUAUGCACCGAACGUCUUAG
rnacentral:rRNA from 1 species